UUAAGUCCCGCAACGAGCGCAACCCCUGCAUUCAGUUGCCAUCGGGUAAUGCCGGGCACUCUGGAAGGACUGCCAUCGACAAGAUGGAGGAAGGUGGGGAUGACGUCAAGUCAUCAUGGCCCUUAUGUCCAGGGCGACACACGUGCUACAAUGGCCGGCACAACGGGAAGCGAGUUCGCGAGGACGAGCGGAUCCCUUAAAGCCGGUCGCAGUUCGGAUUGAAGUCUGCAACUCGACUUCAUGAAGCUGGAAUCGCUAGUAAUCGUGGAUCAGCCAAGCCGCGGUGAAUACGUUCCCGGGCCUU
rnacentral:rRNA from 1 species